rnacentral:rRNA from 1 species
GACGAACGCUGGCGGCGUGCUUAACACAUGCAAGUCGAACGGAAAGGCCCUGCUUUUGCGGGGUGCUCGAGUGGCGAACGGGUGAGUAACACGUGAGUAACCCGCCCUGGACUUGGGGAUAACUGCAGGAAACCGGGGCUAAUACCGGCUAGGAGCUCCUGCUGCAUGGUGGGGGUUGGAAAGUUUCGGUGGGUGGGGAUGGACUGCGGGCUUAUCAGCUUGUUGGUGGGGGAGUGGCUUACCGAGGGAUUGGCGGGUAGCCGGCCUGGGAGGGUGACCGGCGACAUUGGGACUGAGAGAGGGCCCAGACUCCUACGGGAGGCAGCAGUGGGGAAUAUUGCACAAUCGGCGGAAGCCUGAUGCAGAAACGCCGCGUGCGGGAUGACGGCCUUCUGGGGGGAAACCGCUGUCGCCUGUGACGAAGCGGGAGUGACGGUAAUGGGUAAAGAAGCACCGGCUAACUACGUG